GACAGAGUGGGCAAGCGUUGCUCGGAAUUACUGGGCGUAAAGCGAGUGUAGGUGGUUGUCCAAGUUGGAUGUGAAAGCCUUGAGCUCAACUCAAGAAAUGCAUUCAGGACUGGGCGGCUAGAGGACCGGAGAGGAUAGUGGAAUUCCCAGUGUAGUGGUGAAAUACGUAGAGAUUGGGAAGAACACCAGUGGCGAAGGCGGCUAUCUGGACGGUUUCUGACACUAAGACUCGAAAGCGUGGGGAGCAAACAGG
rnacentral:rRNA from 1 species